rnacentral:lncRNA from 1 species
AUGGCCCGGGGGAAAGUAGAGAACAGAAAGAAGGAAAAAUCUGGUGAAGGUGACGAUCAAAGGGAGCAGUCCAAGGAUUCCAAAGAUGCUGCUCCAGGAGCCAAGGAAGAAGACGCUAGUCAAAAGCCUGAGGCGCAAAAGGUGGGCCUAUUGCAUCUCGAAAAAAUUUGGGAAGAAGAAGGAGGAGCUCUGAGACACUUGUGUGCUUUUAAUGAACUUAUCAAUUAUUUACCCUGUUGCAAAGCUGACAGAGGCGAUCUGUCAUACAUAGUAUGUGAUUCAUAUUUACAUGACGUAGUCUGUCAUCAUUUACUCACCCUCAUGUCAUGACUUCCUUACUUCUAUGGAACUCAAAACAAGUGUUAAAGAAUGUACUGGAGUGUUAUUAU